rnacentral:rRNA from 1 species
CGAGUAGUUAGCCUAACCGCAAGGGGGGCGAUUACCACGGCAGGGUUCAUGACUGGGGUGAAGUCGUAACAAGGUAGCCGUAUCGGAAGGUGCGGCUGGAUCACCUCCUUUA